UUGUGAUUCCAUACUGGGGCUCUGUGACGUCAGAAAGGGGCUCUGUGACAUCGCAAUGUGCUCUGUGACAUCACAGUGGGGCAUUGUGAUUUCAUAAUCGGGCCCGGUGUCAUCACAAUGGAGCAUUGUGAUUCCAUCAUGGGGCUCAGUGACGUCACAAAGGGGCUCUGUGACAUCACAAUCUGCUCUGUGACAUCACAAUGGGCGUUGUGAUUUCAUAAUCGGGCCCCUGUGAUAUCACAGUGGGAGCAUUGUGAUUCCAUACUGGGGCUCUGUGAUGUCACAAUUUGGCUCUGCGACAUCACAGUGGGGUUUGUGAUGUCACAAUGGAGCAUUGUGAUACCAUCAUGGCGACUCUGUGACGUCACAAUGGGGCUCUGUGACGUCACAAUGGGGCUCUGUGACGUCACAAUGGGGCAUUGUGAUUUCAUAAUCGGGCCCGGUGACAUCACAAUGGAGCAUUGUGAUUCCAUCAUGGGGCUCAGUGACGUCACAAAGGGGCUCUGUGACAUCACAAUCUGCUCUGUGACAUCACAAUGGAGCGUUGUGAUUUCAUAAUCGGGCCCUGUGACAUCACAGUGGAGCAUUGUGAUUCCAUACUGGGGCUCUGUGAU
rnacentral:lncRNA from 7 species